CUAGAAAUGGAAAGUGCUUACUGCAUUUUUUCUUACACAUGUGUUUUUCUUUUUUUGAAAACUUUGCUUUGGUAGGCCUUCUAUAUGGGGCCUGCCAGAGAUUAAACUCAACCAAAUUUUAUUUAAUGUCAACCGAUUAUUUAAUAGUCAAAACUUUCAACAACGGAUCUCUUGGUUCUCGCAUCGAUGAAGAACGCAGCGAAAUGCGAUAAGUAAUAUGAAUUGCAGAUAUUCGUGAAUCAUCGAAUCUUUGAACGCACAUUGCGCCCUUUGGUAUUCCAAAGGGCAUGCCUGUUUGAGCGUCAUUUCUCCCUCAAACCCUCGGGUUUGGUGUUGAGCGAUACGCUGGGUUUGCUUGAAAGAAAGGCGGAGUAUAAACUAAUGGAUAGGUUUUUUCCACUCAUUGGUACAAACUCCAAAACUUCUUCCAAAUUCGACCUCAAAUCAGGUAGGACUACCCGCUGAACUUAAGCAUAUCAAAAGCCGGAGGAA
rnacentral:rRNA from 1 species